rnacentral:rRNA from 1 species
GUAGGUGGGCAAGCGUUGUCCGGAAUUAUUGGGCGUAAAGCGCGCGCAGGCGGUCCUUUAAGUCUGAUGUGAAAGCCCACGGCUCAACCGUGGAGGGUCAUUGGAAACUGGGGGACUUGAGUACAGAAGAGGAAAGCGGAAUUCCAAGUGUAGCGGUGAAAUGCGUAGAGAUUUGGAGGAACACCAGUGGCGAAGGCGGCUUUCUGGUCUGUAACUGACGCUGAGGCGCGAAAGCGUGGGGAGCAAACAGGAUUAGAUACCCUGGUAGUCCACGCCGUAAACGAUGAGUGCUAAGUGUUAGGGGGGUUUCCGCCCCUUAGUGCUGCAGCUAACGCAUUAAGCACUCCGCCUGGGGAGUACGGCCGCAAGGCUG